UGGGGAAUAUUGCACAAUGGGCGCAAGCCUGAUGCAGCCAUGCCGCGUGUAUGAAGAAGGCCUUCGGGUUGUAAAGUACUUUCAGUCGGGAGGAAGGUGGUAAGGUUAAUAACCUUAUCAAUUGACGUUACCGACAGAAGAAGCACCGGCUAACUCCGUGCCAGCAGCCGCGGUAAUACGGAGGGUGCAAGCGUUGUCCGGAUUUAUUGGGCGUAAAGCGAGCGCAGGCGGUUUCUUAAGUCUGAUGUGAAAGCCCCCGGCGCAACCGGGGAGGGUCAUUGGAAACUGGGAGACUUGAGUGCAGAAGAGGAGAGUGGAAUUCCAUGUGUAGCGGUGAAAUGCGUAGAUAUAUGGAGGAACACCAGUGGCGAAGGCGGCUCUCUGGUCUGUAACUGACGCUGAGGCUCGAAAGCGUGGGGAGCAAACAGG
rnacentral:rRNA from 1 species